UUAGGAAUCUUGAAGAAAUACAAUGUUGACCACAUUCCCACAGGACCAAAAAAAUGAUGAAAUUGUAUGUGAGACAACCAUAUAACCAUGCUAGGAGCCAAUCAGAUGGGCUGGCAACAUUCAUCUACUCAGCCAUGGCUAAACCAUGAAGAAGGCAAAAUAUGUAACCUCUCAGGCAUUUCAUCAAACAGUUGGCCUGCAUCUCUAAAUUGGACGCCUAUCCAUAUGACCUUGCAGAGGAAUCAUGGAGAGAGUAACCUCUUAGGCAGCCUCCACCGGAGCAAAAAAAGAUGAGAUUGUCUGUCAGACAACCAUGUAGCCAUGCCAGGACCAUUAGAUGGUUUGGCAUCGAUCAUCUACUGAGCCAUGGCCGAGACCAUGAAGUUUUGUUAAUCACGCUCUGGUUACAUGGUCGUGGUUCAUCAACCAGACAUGGGUUUCUGUCUUCUUAGGAAUCAAGAAUACAGAGGUACGAGCCUAUAGAACAGAUCCUGUUCAAGUAAGGUCGUGCUUCUUCUUCUCUCUCGAUUCCUUAUAUAGCUGCUCUGAUUUUUAAUCUGCAACAAUGUGGGAGGAAGUCAUGAAACAAAUCGGAUCUGAGCGGCUAAGCCCACGUACGCCUCUUUCCUCUUGGGUUUAUUAACACUAAUUUCUUCAAUAUAUUUCAUAUUUGUUUAUUGUAUCAAAAGAGGUUAGAAAAAUGGAAAAUGCAAUAUCUUUCAAUCUAAUAAAAGAAUCUUUUCAUUCUACGUGUCUUCUCCUUCACUCAUUUCACACUAAAAUUAAAUUACCAAAUUACCCAUUACUACUCUGUUGACCCUUAAAUAUUUUGUCGAUCCCUUAAACUCUAAUCUUCUUUUUCAUCUGUAUCAAUGGUUGCUUUGUAGGAACCUUCGAUUCGUCGCCUGCUCCGCCACCGGGCAUUCUCGAAUCUAAUGAAGACGGGUUUAAUAGUAAUGAAAACUUAUAGCAGGGCUUCUGGAAUUUUAUAAUGUUCGAUGGUUUUGAUUUUGCUAAAAGGUUCGUAACAUUUUUCUCUCAGUAUACUACAUAUUUAAUUGUAUGAUUCCAUAAAAUUCAUCUCCGUCUAUGGAUUUUGUGAUUUUGAUAGUCCAAUCGUGUCCCCCCCUUUUUUUUAAUCCACGUGAUUUGAUAAUUGAAUUUGCUUUCUUUUGUUGACGAAAUUUCCAGUUGUAGUUUUAUCAUCAUGUUGAAUUAUUGAUCAGUUGAUAUAUAUGAUUGAUAACUUAGGGCUUAAACUGGGUACAUACACAUGGCUUGAUGAUUUAAUGGUAUAAGGUAAAGCGUUGGUGGAUUACUUUAGGGAUUCGCUAUUCCGCCGUUUUUCUUUUUUGUAUUAUAACCUUUUUGAAGUAUUAAUGUUGUUUAUUAUGGGAUAACUUUUAUAAGUGCAUUUUCUAAGAAGUAGUGCAUACGAUUGUUUUUUAAAAUUAAAUUACUUGUGAGAACUACUUUUGUGCUUUCUUUCUGUAACAUCCGGAUUCUCAUGUAUCUUAUUUUAAUUAUUUAUUUUGAGUUUUAUGGAGGGACUCGGCGAGUAGACGCUCAGACUUGCCGAGUAGGAUUACGAAUUCUUGUCUGGAUUAAUGACCAGACUCGACGAGUCGAUGAGUGGACUCGGCGAGUCUGCGCUGUAAAGUGAAACCCUAAAUCUUAGGGCUUGAGCCCUAUUUAAAGGCCCUUAUGGCCGUCAUUUGCGGCCACUACUCCCCUGUGAAAACCCUAGAGAGCAUAUAGAGCAAUUUGGAGGCUAAUUCUUCAUCCUUUGGUGGGAUCUUGCAAGAAGGAGUGGGAAAAUCCAAGCUAGAUCGAAUGUGGAGCUUGGAUCUGUGGUGUUCACACUGAGAUUCACGUUUUGAGCUUCCCAAACAACUCCAAUAUUCACAUUCUUGAGAAUCCAAAGGUCUAAACAAUCAUAAAUAUCAGCAACAUACAGAGCAUCCUUUCUAAGAAAAAAGGUUUUAGACAACAAGACAGUAGAAGAAAUUAAUUUCUUUUCAGACAUUUCAUCAAACACUUGCUUUGCAUAUCCAAAAUUCUCCACAUUUUCCAUUCGCACAUAUUACCAGAUACAAAUGAAAACAUGGAAAAUUAUGUUAACUAUAAUGAGGAAUCUUGAAGAAAUACAAUGUUGACCACAUUCCCACAGGACCAAAAAAAUGAUGAAAUUGUAUGUGAGACAACCAUAUAACCAUGCUAGGAGCCAAUCAGAUGGGCUGGCAACAUUUAUCUACUGAGCCAUGGCUAAACCAUGAAGAAGGCAAAAUAUGUAACCUCUCAGGCAUUUCAUCAAACAGUUGGCCUGCAUCUGUAAAUUGGACGCCUAUCCAUAUGACCUUGCAGAGGAAUCAUGGAGAGAGUAACCUCUUAGGCAGCCUCCACCGGAGCAAAAAAAGAUGAGAUUGUCUGUCAGACAACCAUGUAACCAUGCCAGGACCAUGAGAUGGGCUGACAACGAUCAUCUACUGAGCCAUGGCCGAGACCAUGAAGUUCUGUUAAUCACGCUCUGGUUACAUGGUCGUGGUUCAUCAACCAGACAUGGGUUUCUGUCUUGUUAGGAAUCAAGAAUACAGAGGUACGAGCCUAUAGAACAGAUCCUGUUCAAGUAAGGUCGUGCUUCUUCUUCUCUCUCGAUUCCUUAUAUAGCUGCUCUCGAUUCCUUAAAAAAAAAAUUAAUAAAUUAGGCAAUAGAUAUUAUAAAUAAUUUUUUUGUUGACGUGUUUGAUAUGUGUAAAAUGGAGGAGUGAAUUAGUGGGAAUUUAAUUAAUGAGGAAAAACCUUAAAAUGACAAGUGACAAAUAAUUAAUGUGAAGCUCUAAUUGAUUGACAUGUGACAAUGUGCUACUCUUUAAUUAAUAGAAAUUGAAUUAAUUUGAAAUUUGAAUAUAA